rnacentral:rRNA from 1 species
GUGGGGAAUAUUGCACAAUGGGGGAAACCCUGAUGCAGCAACGCCGCGUGAAGGAAGAAGUAUUUCGGUAUGUAAACUUCUAUCAGCAGGGAAGAAAAUGACGGUACCUGACUAAGAAGCCCCGGCUAACUACGUGCCAGCAGCCGCGGUAAUACGUAGGGGGCAAGCGUUAUCCGGAUUUACUGGGUGUAAAGGGAGCGUAGGUGGUAUGGCAAGUCAGAUGUGAAAGCCCGGGGCUCAACCCCGGGACUGCAUUUGAAACUGUCAGACUAGAGUGCAGGAGAGGUAAGUGGAAUUCCUAGUGUAGCGGUGAAAUGCGUAGAUAUUAGGAGGAACACCAGUGGCGAAGGCGGCUUACUGGACUGUAACUGACACUGAGGCUCGAAAGCGUGGGGAGCAAACAGGAUUAGAAACCCGGGUAGUCC